UUUGUAGCAAUACGAGCUGAGUCGAGCGGCGUAAGGGGCAGUAAGGCAUGGGUAACGUACCCUGGGGUCGGGGAUAGCCGAGGGAAACUUCGGGUAAUACCCGAUGAUGUCGUAAGACCAAAGAUUUAUCACCCUUGGAGCGGCUCAUGUGGUAUUAGCUAGUUGGUGGGGUAAUGGCCCACCAAGGCUAAGAUGCCUAGCGGGUGUGAGAGCACGACCCGCGCCACUGGCACUGAGACACUGGCCAGACACCUACGGGUGGCUGCAGUCGAGAAUCUUCGGCAAUGAGCGCAAGCUUGACCGAGCGACGCCGCGUGCGGGAUGAAGGCCCUCGGGUUGUAAACCGCUGUCGAGGGGGAGGAAGGCGCAAGCUUGACCUAUCCCUGGAGGAAGCACGGGCUAAGUUCGUGCCAGCAGCCGCGGUAAGACGAACUGUGCGAACGUUGUUCGGAAUCACUGGGCUUAAAGGGUGCGUAGGCGGCUCGUUAAGUCGGGGGUGAAAUACUUCGGCUCAACCGGAGAAUUGCCUUCGAUACUGGCGGGCUUGAGGAAGGUAGGGGUCGCGGGAACUGCCAGUGGAGCGGUGAAAUGCGUUGAUAUUGGCAGGAACGCCGGUGGUGAAGACGCGCGGCUGGACCUUUUCUGACGCUGAUGCACGAAAGCCAGGGGAGCAAACGGGAUUAGAUACCCCGGUAGUCCUGGCCCUAAACGAUGGGUACUAGGUAGUGGGUUCGACACGGACUCGCUGCCGAAGCAAAAGUGUUAAGUACCCCGCCUGGGGAGUAUGGUCGCAAGGCUGAAACUCAAAGGAAUUGAC
rnacentral:rRNA from 1 species